ensembl:lncRNA
CGACGCUCUAACCACUAGGCUACUUGCAACUGUUCAUUCCAGGUACGUCGACCUACGUAAAUGCAUCUGCAUUUUGUGCACAGAACAGCACUUGAUAGAGAGGGAGUUGAUGCCUUUUGCUGCACUGCGAGGUUUGCUCAGACUGACAUGUGAGCCCGGGAGAGCAGGAGGAGGAAGAGGGAGUCUUUGUCAGUCUUUCCAAGACGAGCUCUUGGGCUCCUCUGGCUGGCUUGACUCUGGCUCCGCUCUGACAAGACUCCCAGCUGCAGCGUAGCCAAGAUGUCAGCUUGAAGGCCAAUCAACCCAACCCCAGCCCGGAGAGAGACGAGGGCUCAGGUCCAACUCACACGUGGACUCUCCUUAGAGGUGUAAGAGUCGUGGCUGAACGACGACAUUAUCAACAUACAGCUGGCUGGGUAAACGCUGUGUCGGCAGGAUUGAACAGUGGCGCCUGGUAAGACAAGGGGCGGCGGACUAUGAAUAUAUGUAAACAACAGCUGGUGCAUGAUAUUCUAAGGAAGUCUUGAGGUUUUGCUCGCCUGAGGUAGAGUAUCUCGUGAUAAGUUGUGAACCACACUAUUUACCUAGAGAGUUUUCAUCUGUAUUUUUCGUAGCUGUCUACAUACCACCGUGGACCAAUGCUGGCACUAAGACCACACUCAAUGAGCUGUAUACGCCAUAAGCAAACAGGAAACGCUCAUCCAGAGGCGGCGCUCCUAGUGGCCGGGGACUUUAAUGCAGGGAAACUUAAAUCUGUUUUACCAAAUUUCUAUCAGCA